rnacentral:rRNA from 1 species
GACGAACGCUGGCGGCGUGCCUAAUACAUGUAAGUAGAACGCUGAAGAGAGGAGCUUGCUCUUCUUGGAUGAGUUGCGAACGGGUGAGUAACGCGUAGGUAACCUGCCUUGUAGCGGGGGAUAACUAUUGGAAACGAUAGCUAAUACCGCAUAACAAUGGAUGACACAUGUCAUUUAUUUGAAAGGGGCAAUUGCUCCACUACAAGAUGGACCUGCGUUGUAUUAGCUAGUAGGUGAGGUAAUGGCUCACCUAGGCGACGAUACAUAGCCGACCUGAGAGGGUGAUCGGCCACACUGGGACUGAGACACGGCCCAGACUCCUACGGGAGGCAGCAGUAGGGAAUCCUCGGCAAUGGGGGCAACCCUGACCGAGCAACGCCGCGUGAGUGAAGAAGGUUUUCGGAUCGUAAAGCUCUGUUGUAAGUCAAGAACGGGUGUGAGAGUGGAAAGUUCACACUGUGACGGUAGCUUACCAGAAAGGGACGGUUAACUACGUG